GGAUAUCCCAGAAGCGCUUUUAGGAUAGAAGCACAUUUUGGAUGCCGGUCUAUCCUAAAAGCGCUUCUAUCCUAAAAGCGCUUUUAGGAUAAACG
rnacentral:pre_miRNA from 1 species